rnacentral:ncRNA from 1 species
AGAAAGUUUUAUUCUUGCUUCUAGAUUUACUUCAGUUUUGUUUUACAUGUAAGUUUUGGCGGGGAGUUAGGCAAUUUAUCUUGAGGAUAAUUUGUUGAUUUACGAUCGCAGUAUUUAAUUUUAUAAAUCGGGGGAAUUCGGAUUUAGCAAAUUUGUUAGUAUCGGCUAAAGUCGUGCCAGCCGCCGCGGUUACACGAAGGAUGCGAGUAAAUAUUAUUGGUUAGUAGUUGAAUUGUUAGUUAGAGAGUAUUUUUGUAUUUGUUAGGUGGAAUUUUAAAUUAGGAUAAUUUCUUAAAAAGUUUUUGAAGCUGUGAAAUUUAAGUGGUAAACUAGGAUUAGAUACCCUAUUAUUUUAAAUGUGAAUAAAUGAGGCUUGAGUAGUAAUAGAUAUGUUCUUGAAACUCAAAGAAUUUGGCGGUGCUUUAGUCCUUUCGGAGGAACCUGCCCCGUAAUCGAUAGUCCACGUUAGAUCUUACUUAAUUUUGUAGUCAACUUGUAUACCGCCGUCGUCGGAAUGUCCUUUUAGGGAAACAAUUUUCUAAAACUUUGAAUAAAGUAGAUGUCAGGUCAAGGUGCAGUAAAUGGUUAAGUGGAGGUGGGUUACAAUAAGUGGAUUUAUGACGGAUAAUGAUUUGAAAUUGAGUUGUUAGAAGGUGGAUUUGAUUGUAAUUUUGGUGAUAAAGUUAGGUUGAUUUUGGCUCUAAAGCAUGCACACAUCGCCCGUCGCUCUCGUUAUUUAAGGCGAGAUAAGUCGUAACAUAGUAGAUGUACCGGAAGGUGUAUCUGGAAAGUU